AUCAAGGACGAUAUAUUGGCAGGUUUGGAUGUGCCUCCAAAAACCACUCAUUCCCCCCUUAAAAUUGAAACUUGAAUUGCAUAGAGCGGGAACUUCCCCUCCUUGCUGCCUCAGCUCAAAAUUAAAGUGUGCAGAAUCAGACAACAUAACUUCAUUUAUGUGUUGUGUGAUUCAUGAAUACAAAAUAAAAAGAGCCAACUGCCCGGUGUUUGACAACUUAAGUUAGGGCUAGCAACUUGUGUAUAUCCUACUUCAUUUAUUUCAGUAUACAAAACACCAUGAAAACACGAUUUCUUCGUCAGUCUCCAUCUCUCCCCGAAACACAGAUACCGUCCUCUUCAUCCACAGCCAACCUUCAUCCAUUAAUCGAAGCGCGCCCAGCUACUCACCUAAGUGCCCAGUGAAUUUCACCCUCUCUCCACUGAAACCAAUUCCUCGGAUCCCUAAUCAUCAAUCGUAGAACAAUGGCGAAGCAAUCUAAAGCCAAGAAAUCGGAGAAUUUGGGAAAGUGUACCGUCACCCCCGUCCAGAUCGCCUUCCUCGUCAGCCAGUUUCUCUUUGAUAACAGCUACACCGAAGCCUGCUUUGUUUUCUGAACUGACGCCUCCUCACUCUUCUCUACGUCUCCGAUUCAAGAGGUGCCGAAGAGCCUGCUGAGUUUGUCUGAGAUUCUGAAAAGUACAAAGCAUUGGGGAGCAGAAGAUGAUUCGCGAAGCCAAUGGCGACCCCAACAAGGCUAACAAGCCGUUCAUGCGCUCCUCAUCGAGCAACCCCAAUAAAUAUUGAUUUCUUCACAUAAUAAACACCCAAUGGAAACCAAGGCCACCCAGAGUUCAUCAGUUGCUUCUUCUACGACGUCGUUUGGGAGCUCGAAGAAGACGGUGUGGGUUUAGACGGAGAGGAAGCAGGUCAUGACGGCCGCCGUGGAGAGAGGCUGGAACACCUUCCUGUUUCAGAGUUAGAAACUCGCCAAUGACUGGUCUUGUUUGUAGAAAGGCAAAAGGGGAGAAAGUUUCGGAAGUGGAGGGCUUUGUUUUGGGUUGUUUACUGUCUAUGUUUGCCUUGCUUUAUGCUGAUGGAUAUAUCUAGUUUGUCUGCUUACCAAAAUGUUGGUCUACUUCAAAAGAAAAGAAGCACUGAAGUUUUAUUUCCUCAAUAUAACCCCACGCCUGAUGAGAGGUGCCCAUCUACAAUAUCCUUCAUCUCUUGGAAACGGAGCAAGGAAUAUUUCAGCAGGUUUUAAAAGGCGAACUCGAUUUCAUAUCAGAACCUUGUCCCAGCAUAUCUGAAAGUGCCAAGGAUUUGGUCAGGAGAAUGCUUGUGAGGGACCCAAAAAAGCGGAUAACAGCCAUGAAGUACUUCUAAAGGUACUUGUGAAUAGCAAAGAAGCUUGUGAUCAUGGGCGAAAGGUGGGAGGCUACAUUAUAUUUUUUUUUCUUUUGAGGUUUGGUACUUCAUAUGGUAUUGCUAGUAGAAGUGAGAAGGGGAGCAGAGGUAGAAACUCGGGGAGCUUCGGAAAGAUGAUGAAGUGUGUUUGCUCGGGAGAGCAGUUAAGAGCACCAGAUGAUUUGGUAUUUUCAGAUGUGGAAUGAUUGGGCUAAGUUUGUCGUCAAUACAUAUGUCUAGGAGCUAUUAGAAUGGUUUUUUGUGUUUUAAUGUAUAGAUGAUUAGGAAAUACAUCAUUUGUAGUACAUUUGACUAUAAUGUAUGAAUUGUACAUUUGAAUAUAUGGUUACU